rnacentral:rRNA from 1 species
UAAUACGUAGGGUGCGAGCGUUAAUCGGAAUUACUGGGCGUAAAGCGUGCGUAGGCGGUUUCGCAAGUCAGAUGUGAAAUCCCCGGGCUUAACCUGGGAACUGCGUUUGAAACUACGGAGCUAGAAUGCGGCAGAGGGGGGUGGAAUUCCACGUGUAGCAGUGAAAUGCGUAGAUAUGUGGAGGAACACCGAUGGCGAAGGCAACCCCCUGGGCCGACAUUGACGCUGAGGCACGAAAGCGUGGGGAGCAAACAGG